rnacentral:tRNA from 1 species
GGUGACUAUAGCUCAACGGUAGAGCGCAUGGCUGUGAACCGUGUGAUGGGAGUUCGAUUCUCCUUGGCCACCC